GUGUCAGCAGCCGCGGUAAUACGGGGGUGGCGAGCGUUACUCGGAUUUAUUGGGUGUAAAGGGCAGGCAGGUGUCUCUGUAAGUCAGGAGUGAAAUCCUACGGCUCAACCGUAGAACUGCUUUUGAAACUGCAGAGAUUGAGGUCGGAAGAGGAGAGCGGAAUUCCCGGUGUAAGGGUGAAAUCUGUAGAUAUCGGGAGGAACACCAGUGGCGAAAGCGGCUCUCUGGUCCGACCCUGACGCUAAACUGCGAAAGCUAGGGGAGCAAACAGGAUUAGAUACCCUGGUAGUCCUAGCCGUAAACGAUGAGCACUAGGUGUCGGGGAGUAAUCUUCGGCGCCGUAAGUAAACACGUUAAGUGCUCCACCUGGGGACUACGACCGCAAGGUUAAA
rnacentral:rRNA from 1 species